CGGGAAACUGGGGAUAAUACCCCAUAGACUACAGAAGCUGGAAUGCUCUGUAAUCGAAAGGUCCGCCGCCUUAGGAUGGGUCUGCGGCUGAUUAGGUUGUUGUUGGGGUAACGGCCCAACAAGCCUGUAAUCAGUACGGGUUGUGGGAGCAAGAACCCGGAGAUGGAUUCUGAGACACGAAUCCAGGCCCUACGGGGCGCAGCAGGCGCGAAAACUUUACAAUGCGAGAAAUCGUGAUAAGGGAACCCCGAGUGCCCGUAAAUUCGGGCUGUUAAUCUGUGUAAAAAGCAGGUGGAGAAAGGGCCGGGCAAGACCGGUGCCAGCCGCCGCGGUAACA
rnacentral:rRNA from 1 species